CAGCCGCCGCGGGAAUACGAAGGGGGCUAGCGUUGUUCGGAAUCACUGGGCGUAAAGCGCACGUAGGCGGAUCUUUAAGUCAGGGGUGAAAUCCCGAGGCUCAACCUCGGAACUGCCUUUGAUACUGGGGAUCUGGAGUCCGGGAGAGGUGAGUGGAACUGCGAGUGUAGAGGUGAAAUUCGUAGAUAUUCGCAAGAACACCAGUGGCGAAGGCGGCUCACCGGCCCGGUACUGACGCUGAGGUGCGAAAGCGUGGGGAGCAAACAGGAUUAGAUACCCCAGUAGUCCCUGUCUCUUAUAC
rnacentral:rRNA from 1 species